ensembl:lncRNA
CAUUUAUUGUGAGGCACUGAGCUGGAUGCUGUGGUGUCUUCUGAGCUCAGGGUCCAGCACAGCAUAGCUGGGAACACCGUCCACCACGGGAUGAAGCUGAGGAGGAAGGUUGAAGAUUUUUCCUGGUUAUCUGUGAGUGGAAAUUAUGAUUGUUGUAAAGAAGUAACAACUUUGGAAACAUGGAGGAUCACAAAAAGGUCCAGAGCUGAAGUCACCUACCUAGCAAGAUGCCGGGCAGAGACCAUCAGCUCUUCUCAUGAUUGCUGUUGCAGUACUUCCUCCCUGCUCCAAGGAGCCACAUCACUUGUAGAGUGAAAACCCCUCAAGAAUGAAGACUGGGAGAGGUGGAGAUGCUGAUGAAUAUCCUGUGCCUGUGACAGAAGAAAGUAGUCUUAGUCUCUCCUAGAACAGGACUUUCUUAGUGCCACAAAACACAGGAAGGUGACAGCUUCCACCGAGGGUGUCACUGCAUGGAAAAUACCUUUCUGUACAGAUAACUGUGGAUUUGGGAGAAAACAAUCUGGGGAGGAAGAACUGGGUCCUGAGUCCCAGGGCAGUUUUCAAAAUGAUUUUGAACUGUGGGUUUAUUCUCAUGCCAUGAAUGCAAGCAUAAAGACCCCCUAUAUAAGUUCAUCAACAAAGAAAAAAACCCAGCAACUCUCCUGACUCUGGAAGGGAGGGGUCAAGACAGCAAAGAAAUGGAGUCUUACAAUUUUUUUUAUAAGGAUCUGGAAUUCAACUUAAGCCAUUAGUAUUGGACAUUAAAAAGCCACCUUUAUUUUUGAAAGAGGAUUUAUGGCCUUUUACAUGUUUAUUUUUCCUUCACUACUGGACAUCCAAGGAAGAAAGAACAUAAGGGUCAGAGACUCUCUCUGUCCAGCCAUAGGCCACAUCACCCCAGGUUCCCAACCUGAAAGUGUUCCCUGAGAUGGAGUGAUGGGGAAGGACAUUUUUCCAUUAACUCGGGUUGAGAGUUUGCCUCAGUCCUCAUCCAGGAGUCAACAUUACUUGGCUCAUUUUCACCUCACUCAACUUGGCCCCACCCUGUGCACCCAUCUGUCCAGUGACUCUCACUCACAUUUUCAUGUCAUUCAUGUGUUCCUGUUUUAUGAAACCUGAGAUAUGCUACAAUAGCACCAUCACAGUGUUUACCUGGAAUCAUCUGCACUUGGCCUCAAACUACUUAGUUCUUUGUUUCCUGAUCAUAACCUGGGUAGAGAUGAAAGUUUCUGCAUUUGGGGAGAGAAAUUUCACAGAUAACCCAGAUGUAACCCAGCCGGACAGCAAAGAGUUGAUGGUGCCAUACCUAAUUGACAGUGGAGGGGUAACCUCAAGUUACGUGCCUUUUGACGAAAGUUCUGUAUUAGCUGUUUGCUUAGAAGGAGCAGAUGUUUUGGCUCUGGUGGUCACUGCUCACCUCUGUCUGGGAGGUGCAUCAAUCACUUUAAUUAUAAUAGAACAUGAGGCCAGGAACUGAAGGAGAAAAAUCAACCCAAUCCCAAGAACAAUCUUUCUUGAUGAAUUCUCCCCUAAAUCGAAACAAUUCACUGGGUAUCCCAGCUGGGGUUCAUAUGCUUUUGAUUACUGUGGGCUAUUUAGCUCUACAAAAUGACAGGCUGCUUAAUGGACUUUUAAUGGUUAUAGGUUUCUCUCUCUCUUUUUUUAAUGAGCUUCACCAG